rnacentral:rRNA from 1 species
UACGUAGGGGGCAAGCGUUGUCCGGAAUUAUUGGGCGUAAAGAGCUCGUAGGCGGUUUGUCGCGUCGACUGUGAAAACCCGAGGCUUAACCUCGGGCCUGCAGUCGAUACGGGCAGACUAGAGUUCGGUAGGGGAGACUGGAAUUCCUGGUGUAGCGGUGAAAUGCGCAGAUAUCAGGAGGAACACCGGUGGCGAAGGCGGUUCUCUGGGCAUUACCUGACGCUGAGGAGCGAAAGUGUGGGGAGCGAACAGG